rnacentral:rRNA from 1 species
UCGAACGAUGAAGCCUUUCGGGGUGGAUUAGUGGCGAACGGGUGAGUAACACGUGGGCAAUCUGCCCUUCACUCUGGGACAAGCCCUGGAAACGGGGUCUAAUACCGGAUAAUACUUCUGCCUGCAUGGGCGGGGGUUGAAAGCUCCGGCGGUGAAGGAUGAGCCCGCGGCCUAUCAGCUUGUUGGUGGGGUGAUGGCCUACCAAGGCGACGACGGGUAGCCGGCCUGAGAGGGCGACCGGCCACACUGGGACUGAGACACGGCCCAGACUCCUACGGGAGGCAGCAGUGGGGAAUAUUGCACAAUGGGCGAAAGCCUGAUGCAGCGACGCCGCGUGAGGGAUGACGGCCUUCGGGUUGUAAACCUCUUUCAGCAGGGAAGAAGCGAGAGUGACGGUACCUGCAGAAGAAGCGCCGGCUAACUACGUGCCAGCAGCCGCGGUAAUACGUAGGGCGCAAGCGUUGUCCGGAAUUAUUGGGCGUAAAGAGCUCGUAGGCGGCUUGUCGCGUCGGAUGUGAAAGCCCGGGGCUUAACCCCGGGUCUGCAUUCGAUACGGGCAGGCUAGAGUGUGGUAGGGGAGAUCGGAAUUCCUGGUGUAGCGGUGAAAUGCGCAGAUAUCAGGAGGAACACCGGUGGCGAAGGCGGAUCUCUGGGCCAUUACUGACGCUGAGGAGCGAAAGCGUGGGGAGCGAACAGGAUUAGAUACCCUGGUAGUCCACGCCGUAAACGUUGGGAACUAGGUGUUGGCGACAUUCCACGUCGUCGGUGCCGCAGCU